rnacentral:rRNA from 1 species
GUGUCAGCCGCCGCGGUAAUACGUAGGUGGCGAGCGUUGUCCGGAAUUACUGGGUGUAAAGGGCGUGUAGGCGGGGAUGCAAGUCAGAUGUGAGAUCCCCGGGCUUAACUUGGGGGCUGCAUUUCAAACUGGAUGUCUAGAGUGCAGGAGAGGAAAGCAGAAUUCCUAGUGUAGCGGUGAAAUGCGUAGAGAUUAGGAAGAAUACCAGUGGCGAAGGCGGCUUUCUGGACUGUAACUGA